rnacentral:rRNA from 1 species
UACGUAGGGUGCAAGCGUUGUCCGGAAUUAUUGGGCGUAAAGAGCUCGUAGGCGGUUUGUCGCGUCUGCUGUGAAAACUGGAGGCUCAACCUCCAGCCUGCAGUGGGUACGGGCAGACUAGAGUGCGGUAGGGGAGAUUGGAAUUCCCGGUGUAGCGGUGUAAUGCGCAGAGAUCGGGAGGAACACCCGUAGCGAAGGCGGCACUCUGGGCCGGUACUGACGCUGAGGAGCGAAAGCGUGGGGAGCGAACAGG